rnacentral:rRNA from 1 species
AACGCUGGCGGCAGGCCUAACACAUGCAAGUCGAACGGUAACAGAAAGCAGCUUGCUGCUUUGCUGACGAGUGGCGGACGGGUGAGUAAUGUCUGGGAAACUGCCUGAUGGAGGGGGAUAACUACUGGAAACGGUAGCUAAUACCGCAUAACGUCGCAAGACCAAAGAGGGGGACCUUCGGGCCUCUUGCCAUCGGAUGUGCCCAGAUGGGAUUAGCUUGUUGGUGGGGUAACGGCUCACCAAGGCGACGAUCCCUAGCUGGUCUGAGAGGAUGACCAGCCACACUGGAACUGAGACACGGUCCAGACUCCUACGGGAGGCAGCAGUGGGGAAUAUUGCACAAUGGGCGCAAGCCUGAUGCAGCCAUGCCGCGUGUAUGAAGAAGGCCUUCGGGUUGUAAAGUACUUUCAGCGGGGAGGAAGGGAGUAAAGUUAAUACCUUUGCUCAUUGACGUUACCCGCAGAAGAAGCACCGGCUAACUCCGUGCCAGCAGCCGCGGUAAUACGGAGGGUGCAAGCGUUAAUCGGAAUUACUGGGCGUAAAGCGCACGCAGGCGGUUUGUUAAGUCAGAUGUGAAAUCCCCGGGCUCAACCUGGGAACUGCAUCUGAUACUGGCAAGCUUGAGUCUCGUAGAGGGGGGUAGAAUUCCAGGUGUAGCGGUGAAAUGCGUAGAGAUCUGGAGGAAUACCGGUGGCGAAGGCGGCCCCCUGGACGAAGACUGACGCUCAGGUGCGAAAGCGUGGGGAGCAAACAGGAUUAGAUACCCCUGGUAGUCCCCGCCGUAAACGAUGUCGACUUGGAGGUUGUGCCCUUGAGGCGUGGCUUCCGGAGCUAACGCGUUAAGUCGACCGCCUGGGGAGUACGGCCGCAAGGUUAAAACUCAAAUGAAUUGACGGGGGCCCGCACAAGCGGUGGAGCAUGUGGUUUAAUUCGAUGCAACGCGAAGAACCUUACCUGGUCUUGACAUCCACGGAAGUUUUCAGAGAUGAGAAUGUGCCUUCGGGAACCGUGAGACAGGUGCUGCAUGGCUGUCGUCAGCUCGUGUUGUGAAAUGUUGGGUUAAGUCCCGCAACGAGCGCAACCCUUAUCCUUUGUUGCCAGCGGUCCGGCCGGGAACUCAAAGGAGACUGCCAGUGAUAAACUGGAGGAAGGUGGGGAUGACGUCAAGUCAUCAUGGCCCUUACGACCAGGGCUACACACGUGCUACAAUGGCGCAUACGAAGAGAAGCGACCUCGCGAGAGCAAGCGGACCUCAUAAAGUGCGUCGUAGUCCGGAUUGGAGUCUGCAACUCGACUCCAUGAAGUCGGAAUCGCUAGUAAUCGUGGAUCAGAAUGCCACGGUGAAUACGUUCCCGGGCCUUGUACACACCGCCCGUCACACCAUGGGAGUGGGUUGCAAAAGAAGUAGGUAGCUUAACCUUCGGGAGGGCGCUUACCACUUUGUGAUUCAUGAC